rnacentral:rRNA from 1 species
GACAGAGGGUGCAAACGUUGUUCGGAAUUACUGGGCGUAAAGCGCGUGUAGGCUGCUCGGAAAGUCGGAUGUGAAAGCCCUGGGCUUAACCUAGGAAGUGCAUUCGAAACUUCCGAGCUGGAGUUCUGGAGAGGAAGGCGGAAUUCUCGGUGUAGAGGUGAAAUUCGUAGAUAUCGGAAGGAACAUCAGUGGCGAAGGCGGCUCGCUGGGCCGGCCCUGACGCUGAGACGCGAAGGCGUGGGGAGCGAACGGG